rnacentral:rRNA from 1 species
CCUACGGGAGGCAGCAGUGAGGAAUAUUGGUCAAUGGGCGCAAGCCUGAACCAGCCAAGUCGUGUGAGGGAUGACGGUCCUAUGGAUUGUAAACCUCUUUUGUAGGGGAGCAAGGGCCGCCACGUGUGGCGGGCAGGAGAGUACCCGAAGAAAAAGCAUCGGCUAACUCCGUGCCAGCAGCCGCGGUAAGACGGAGGAUGCGAGCGUUAGCCGGAUUUAUUGGGUUUAAAGGGUGCGUAGGCGGAAGGUUAAGUCAGCGGUCAAAUGUCGGGGCUCAACACCGGCCUGCCGUUGAAACUGGUCUGCUUGAGUGAGCGAGAAGUAUGCGGAAUGCGGGGUGUAGCGGUGAAAUGCAUAGAUAUCACGCAGAACUCCGGUUGCGAAGGCAGCAUACCGGCGCUCAACUGACGCUGAGGCACGAAAGCGGGGGGAUCGAACAGGAUUAGAUACCCCGUGUAGUC